rnacentral:lncRNA from 1 species
CGUUUUUCUCUUUCUCAAGUCUCAAGUGUUUUUUUUUUUAAUUUUCUCUUUCUCUCUCCUCUGCCGGAACCUGCAUUUAUCGCCGGAACUUUUCCUCGGAAACCGUCCUUCCGCUUCGAACCACCGCUACCCUUUUGAGAGACCGUUUCUUCCGCCUCGGAAAGCUCUGUUUUUUCCACAGUUCUGUGAGUUAAAGAAGAAGCUUUGUAUGUGUGUUUGACUUGGAAUCUUCUAAUGGAGUUUCAUGGAAUAAGGGUAGAUCAAUGAAGUAGCUUUGCAUUCUAAGCGAAAACAAGAAGUGGUGAUUUGGUUUUCUGUUUUCGAAAGUGAGAGAUGUUUUGGUUUUUGAUGGUGUGAAAGGUGAAUGGUGGUUGUGGAGGAGAGAGAAGAAGAAGAGGUUGGAGUUGUUGUUGAUGAUGAACGGAGCUCCGGCGAGCGAUCGGAGAGGGUGGUGGCGCUUCGGUGAAUCUCUCACAUGGAAUGGCAGAUCUUGCUAGCAUAGNNN